CCCUUAGAUGUUCUGGGCCGCACGCGCGCUACACUGACGAAUGCAACGAGCUUAUAACCUUGGCCGAAAGGUCUGGGUAAUCUCCAAAUUUCGUCGUGAUGGGGAUAGAUUAUUGCAAUUAUUAAUCUUCAACGAGGAAUGCCUAGUAAGCGCAAGUCAUCAGCUUGCGUUGAUUACGUCCCUGCCCUUUGUACACACCGCCCGUCGCUCCUACCGCUUGAAUGGUCCGGUGAAGCGUUCGGACCGUGGCCUUUGGACGGUUCGCCGUCUGUUGGCUGCGGGAAGUUCGUUAAACCUUAUCAUUUAGAGGAAGGAGAANUCGUAACA
rnacentral:rRNA from 1 species